GGAGGUUCGAAGACGAUCAGAUACC
rnacentral:piRNA from 4 species